rnacentral:rRNA from 1 species
UACAGAGGGUGCGAGCGUUAAUCGGAAUUACUGGGCGUAAAGGGCGCGUAGGCGGUGUAUUAAGUUAGAUGUGAAAUCCCUGGGCUUAACCUAGGAACUGCAUUUAAUACUGGUACGCUAGAGUGCAGUAGAGGAUAGUGGAAUUUCCGGUGUAGCGGUGAAAUGCGUAGAUAUCGGAAGGAACACCAGUGGCGAAGGCGGCUAUCUGGACUGACACUGACGCUGAGGCGCGAGAGCGUGGGGGAGCAAACAGG